GAAGGGACCUAGCGUAGUUCGGAAUUACUGGGCUUAAAGAGUUCGUAGGUGGUUGAAAAAGUUGGUUGGGAAAUCCCGAAGCUUAACUUCGGAACUGCAAUCAAAACUUUUUAGCUAGAGUAUGAUAGAGGAAAGCAGAAUUUCUAGUGUAGAGGUGAAAUUCUUAGAUAUUAGAAAGAAUACCAAUUGCGAAGGCAGCUUUCUGGAUCAUUACUGACACUGAGGAACGAAAGCAUGGGUAGCGAAGAGGAUUAGAUACCCUCGUAGUCCAUGCCGUAAACGAUGUGUGUUAGACGUUGGAAAUUUAUUUUCAGUGUCGCAGCGAAAGCGAUAAACACACCGCCUGGGGAGUACGACCGCAAGGUUAAAACUCAAAUGAAUUGACGGGGACCCGCACAAGUAGUGGAGCAUGUGGUUUAAUUCGAAGAUACGCGCAGAACCUUACCAACACUUGACAUGUUCGUCGCGACUUUAAGAGAUUAAAGUU
rnacentral:rRNA from 1 species